AGAACGAACGCUGGCGGCGUGGAUAAGACAUGCAAGUCGAGCGAAGUAUGAAGGGUAGCAAUAUUCUUUAUACUUAGCGGCGAAAGGGUGCGUAACACGUAGAUCAUCUGCCUCCAAGUGUGGGAUAGCCCGGCGAAAGCCGGAUUAAUACCGCAUGUGGUCGUGAGAUUAAAGCCGGGGACCGUAAGGCCUGGCGCUUGGAGAUGAGUCUGCGGCCUAUCAGCUUGUUGGCGGGGUAACGGCCCACCAAGGCUAAGACGGGUAGCUGGUCUGAGAGGACGACCAGCCACACUGGAACUGAGACACGGUCCAGACACCUACGGGUGGCAGCAGUCGAGGAUUUUUCUCAAUGGGCGAAAGCCUGAAGGAGCGACGCCGCGUGGGGGAUGAAGGUCUUCGGAUUGUAAACCCCUGUCACUUGGGAACAAAUUGGAUCACCCAACACGUGAUCCAUUGAUAGUACCAGGAGAGGAAGCAGUGGCUAACUCUGUGCCAGCAGCCGCGGUAAUACAGAGACUGCAAGCGUUGUUCGGAUUCAUUGGGCGUAAAGGGUGCGUAGGCGGUGAGGUAAGUUGGAUGUGAAAUCUCAGGGCCUAACCCUGAAAGUGCAUCCAAAACUGCCUUGCUUGAGGACUGGAGGGGAGACUGGAAUUCUCGGUGUAGCGGUGAAAUGCGUAGAUAUCGAGAGGAACACCAGUGGCGAAGGCGGGUCUCUAGCCAGUUCCUGACGCUGAGGCACGAAAGCCAGGGUAGCAAACGGGAUUAGAUACCCCGGUAGUCCUGGCCCUAAACGGUGCUCACUUGGGUGUAAGAGGAAUCGACCCCUUCUGUGCCGAAGCUAACGCAUUAAGUGAGCCGCCUGGGGAGUACGGUCGCAAGAUUAAA
rnacentral:rRNA from 1 species